CCUACGGGUGGCAGCAGUGAGGAAUAUUGGUCAAUGGGCGAGAGCCUGAACCAGCCAAGUCGCGUGAGGGAGUACUGCCCUAUGGGUUGUAAACCUCUUUUGUCGGGGAGCAAAAGCCGGACGUGUCCGGCUGUGAGAGUACCCGAAGAAAAAGCAUCGGCUAACUCCGUGCCAGCAGCCGCGGUAAUACGGAGGAUGCGAGAGUUAUCCGGAUUUAUGGGGUUUAAAGGGUGGUCAGGCGGAUGUUUAAGUCAGCGGGCAAAUCGUGGGGCUAAACCCCAUCUAGCCGUUGAAACUGGGGAUCUAGAGUGGGCGAGAGGUAGGCGGAAUGCGUGGUGUAGCGGUGAAAUGCAUAGAUAUCACGCAGAACCCCGAUUGCGAAGGCAGCAUACCGGUGCACAACUGACGCUCAGGCACGAAAGCGUGGGUAUCGAACAGGAUUAGAUACCCCGGUAGUC
rnacentral:rRNA from 1 species